UAAAAGCCUGAUCUCGUCAGAUCUCAGAAGCUAAGUA
rnacentral:rRNA from 1 species